UGCAAGUCGAACGGUGAUGGCCAGCUUGCUGGUCUGAUCAGUGGCGAACGGGUGAGUAACACGUGAGCAACCUGCCCUUCACUCUGGGAUAACCACGGGAAACGGUGGCUAAUACCGGAUAUGAGACGUACACGCAUGUGUCGCGUCUGGAAAGAUUUAUCGGUGAAGGAUGGGCUCGCGGCCUAUCAGCUUGUUGGUGGGGUAGUGGCCCACCAAGGCGACGACGGGUAGCCGGCCUGAGAGGGCGACCGGCCACACUGGGACUGAGACACGGCCCAGACUCCUACGGGAGGCAGCAGUGGGGAAUAUUGCACAAUGGGCGCAAGCCUGAUGCAGCGACGCCGCGUGAGGGAUGACGGCCUUCGGGUUGUAAACCUCUUUCAGCAGGGAAGAAGCGCAAGUGACGGUACCUGCAGAAGAAGCGCCGGCUAACUACGUGCCAGCAGCCGCGGUAAUACGUAGGGCGCAAGCGUUGUCCGGAAUUAUUGGGCGUAAAGAGCUCGUAGGCGGUUUGUCGCGUCUGCUGUGAAAACCUAAGGCUCAACCUUGGGCUUGCAGUGGGUACGGGCAGACUAGAGUGCGGUAGGGGUGACUGGAAUUCCUGGUGUAGCGGUGGAAUGCGCAGAUAUCAGGAGGAACACCGAUGGCGAAGGCAGGUCACUGGGCCGCAACUGACGCUGAGGAGCGAAAGCAUGGGGAGCGAACAGGAUUAGAUACCCUGGUAGUCCAUGCCGUAAACGUUGGGCACUAGGUGUGGGGCUCAUUCCACGAGUUCCGUGCCGCAGCAAACGCAUUAAGUGCCCCGCCUGGGGAGUACGGCCGCAAGGCUAAAACUCAAAGAAAUUGACGGGGGCCCGCACAAGCGGCGGAGCAUGCGGAUUAAUUCGAUGCAACGCGAAGAACCUUACCAAGGCUUGACAUACACCGGGAAAAGUGCAGAGAUGUGCUCCCCGCAAGGUCGGUGUACAGGUGGUGCAUGGUUGUCGUCAGCUCGUGUCGUGAGAUGUUGGGGUUAAGUCCCGCAACGAGCGCAACCCUCGUCCCAUGUUGCCAGCG
rnacentral:rRNA from 1 species